GCGAGCGGGUCUGGAGAGGCGGCACUUUGGGGGGCCUUGAGGACUCCCUCCCACUCCAAACUGCCUGGCUUCCUGGCAAAGUCCCUGCGGGUGAUCGGACCUGUGGGGGAGGGGGCAGCUCCUUUAACACGGUGUUAUUCUUAAACAAACAGACGCGCACGUUUGUUUAUAAGCCUGGGGUUUUUUGUCUUGUUUUCCUCGUUCUUCUAGAACCGGCCCCUCCCCUGGUCUGGUCAGUCACUCCACCUCCCCCCCACCCCGUGCUGGCCCUAGGGCUGUCCCAGUUUGGGUUCUCCAGGCCAGGCAGGGUGGACCUCUGGCUCUUUCAAGUCACAGGGCAUGAGCCUUCCUGCUCCCUGCUCCCGGGAAGAUUAGGGGAAGGAGGGACAGUGAAGGGAAGGUCAAGGCUGACUGAUGAACUUCGCAUCUGCUUGGCGAAAAGUCACCAACAGAAAAAGGCAGCUUGGGCCGCAGUUGGCCUGAUGACUGCGGAUCCCAGUAAUAAGGCCGAGCACAGUCUGACAUGGCUGGUGCCAGACUCCCGCCGCCGUCCACACCCCACUGGUCAGGUGAGGGGACUUGCAGACUUGCAGACUAGGACGCAGGACACCAGCGUCUGGCAGGAGCUAGGUCCCGUGCUCCUGCGGUGCCCCAGGAUUUAAUCUACCAACUGGUGGGUCCUGCAGGAGAUGACACUCUGAUCUAGAAGGACCUAACUCAACUGAUUCCAGUGGAUAAAAGAGAUCUGAGGAAUGAAACUGUCAACAGUAAAUAACUUUCCACGAGGGCAUCCCAGGGAAAAGAACACCUAUUUUCUGGUCAUCGGUUUAGGACCUAGGACUUCAGCUACCCAGCCUGUGGCAUGUUAGUCACAGCAGUCCAAGCGCACAAAUACAGCACAUUGGUUUCUCAGAGAUCAGCCUGGCAGCUGUGGGCCUGGGAGAGCGGACUGCAGGAAUGAAGACUGCUGCUUAGAGAUUGCUUUAUCGAGGCAUACAAGAACUGGGGUACAGGCCA